CAGGAAUACAUGUGCAGAUACCAGCGACUGCAAGUCCAUUGGAGCACACUGAAGGAUCCAGGAGUUGUGGCCAGAGCGCUGACGGCAUCUGCUACCCAUGGAGCUGUCUGGUGAAUAGCAAGUGUCGUUGUGGGCUAGAUGAACAGGGAGAAGAAAGGAGAGAGCUGCCUGCACCAAGCAAGAAACACAUUUGCCUGAUACAGCAGUCCUGCACAGUCUCACGGAUCAUUUUAUUAUCUUCCUUCAUGUGUCCUCCUCCCGAUAUUUGGCUAUCAUUCUGUCAAUUCUUUUGUGUUCCUGAUUUUAG